UAAUGUCAAACAAUUAAGAUACACAAUAAGAUAUAAU
rnacentral:guide_RNA from 1 species